GUAUGCACCUUACUUCUAUCAUUGGCAACCUUUUUGAGUUCAACGAUCCAUGAGAACCAUAACAAUCAAACAAUAAUGGUUUCGUUUAAAUUAUAGUCGAUAUCAUAAACAAAUUAUGAACACAAAUGAGAUUGCAUUGAAAGGCUAUAAUUUUUUUGUUUGGGGUUCAGCAGUUACUGGAAAAUCCUACUUGGAAAAGAAAUUCAAAAGAAAAACUGGAAUAUGAGGGUGAACAUUGUGUAGUUUACAUGCUUUACAAGUAUUGUAUGUCAAGUAUAUAAAGAUGGAUGUACAAUUUAUAAAUUCACUGGGAUUUAAGAUGGUAGAUAUGGACCUUCAGAAAUACUCGAUGUGCUUAUGAAUAAUAAGAAGUAUGUUGAUGUUGUUCAAAAGAUUAAAAUAUGUGAAGUUUUGAUUGUUGAUGAAUAAACAUUUAACUCUAUCAACAAAGAAGACUGAAAUUGCCUGACAAACGUUUUGGAGGCAUACAUGUUAUAUUUGUGACAAACAUUUGGAGUCAUACAAGUUAUAUUUGUGACAAACUUUUUGGAGGCAUACAAGUUAUAUUUGUAGGUGACUUUUUCCAAUUACCACGAAAGAGUGAUGGUUAAGGGGACACACGUAGUUCUUCUGACAAACUAAAGCGAAAUACUUGUAAACGGAGCACAAGUAUUGUAACCAACUUAGAUCAUUAUGGCCCCAUACUUCAAUUUUCGCUGCCGAAUCUUACACAUCGGGUGGAAAAGAUGAAAUUUAUAGGUAAUAAAUGAAGUCCUCAAGUCUAUAUGAAGUUAUAGCAGUAAGAGAACAGUAUUCCCUAACAUUAGCCUUUGAAAUGCAUGAAAUUCUGAUCCUGUGUAGUGAUAGAAUGCCGGGUCAUUUGAAGGCUGGUCAGUAUGGUGCUGCACUGUCAGGGGACACUUCCUCAGCAGGACUGAGAAUAGUUAAAUUUCCAAGAACGUUAUAUCACACCACCAAGUAAAAGAGUUCAUGACUGAUCUACCAGCAUCACAGCCCUUAACAGAGUAUACAUGUUGUCGAGAAAGACAAUGAUUAUCACCAACAGAACAGGAUUCUUUAAUUGAACUUUGAGCCUGAUAAAAUAGAUUCCACAACAGAGAUUUCAGACGAUGCUAACCUUGAUGAUGAUUUCAGUGAUAUCAUAGCACCCAUAGAUAAUGAAGUGGAUGAAUGCAAAGGAAUUGAAAUUCAAGCAGAGUCCAGUUUGGACCUUGAGAAAACAAAAUCUGGAGAAGUAACAGAAUUUCAUAAGAACUAUAAUAGUACUAUUUCAAACAUUGAAGAUGAGAAACAUAAGCUUCUGGUAAAAAAAAAAAUCUUAAGACAAUUUCAAAACUUGAAUAUGUGGCCUUGAAAGAGUUGUAAUGAACUCUUCUUAUUUACGUACCUCAUCAAAACACAAUGAUUAGGGGCCAGCACAUUCUUAUUUUUUCCAGGAAGCAGACUAUAAAGUGACGCAAUACGCUUCAAACUUUCUUCACUGUCGUGUUAAAUUAAAUUAGUAUAAACAAAA